CAGCUUGCUUGGUGGAUCAGUGGCGAACGGGUGAGUAACACGUGAGCAACCUGCCCUGGACUCUGGGAUAAGCGCUGGAAACGGCGUCUAAUACUGGAUAUGAGCUCCUUCCGCAUGGUGGGGGUUGGAAAGAUUUUUCGGUCUGGGAUGGGCUCGCGGCCUAUCAGCUUGUUGGUGAGGUAAUGGCUCACCAAGGCGUCGACGGGUAGCCGGCCUGAGAGGGUGACCGGCCACACUGGGACUGAGACACGGCCCAGACUCCUACGGGAGGCAGCAGUGGGGAAUAUUGCACAAUGGGCGGAAGCCUGAUGCAGCAACGCCGCGUGAGGGAUGACGGCCUUCGGGUUGUAAACCUCUUUUAGCAGGGAAGAAGCGAAAGUGACGGUACCUGCAGAAAAAGCGCCGGCUAACUACGUGCCAGCAGCCGCGGUAAUACGUAGGGCGCAAGCGUUAUCCGGAAUUAUUGGGCGUAAAGAGCUCGUAGGCGGUUUGUCGCGUCUGCUGUGAAAUCCCGAGGCUCAACCUCGGGCCUGCAGUGGGUACGGGCAGACUAGAGUGCGG
rnacentral:rRNA from 1 species